UACGUAGGGUGCGAGCGUUGUCCGGAAUUAUUGGGCGUAAAGAGCUCGUAGGCGGUUUGUCGAGUCAGCUGUGAAAACCCGGGGCUCAACCCCGGACCUGCAGUGGAUACGGGCAGACUAGAGUGCGGUAGGGGAGACUGGAAUUCCUGGUGUAGCGGUGAAAUGCGCAGAUAUCAGGAGGAACACCGGUGGCGAAGGCGGGUCUCUGGGCCGCUACUGACGCUGAGGAGCGAAAGCGUGGGGAGCGAACAGG
rnacentral:rRNA from 1 species